rnacentral:lncRNA from 1 species
UUUAGACUCAUCACUUUCGCCAAUCUUCUUUUUCUCCCCCCACUUUUUUUUUUUUUUUUUUCAUUUUGCCACAUCAUGCGACUCGGGGCGACCGACGUCACUUCCGUGGGCACUUUAGGUCCCACCCACGUACUUCCAGGUGCACGUGAUACUGAUGGGGAAGGGUCGGCUGAUUGCUGCCAGAAUGGAGAGCUCGUUUUAAGGAAAUGCAGCGUCUCCUGGGAGUGAAGAGGCUUUUGGGCCACCUUGAGGCAUGACCCCUGCCUGUUUCGACUGAGCCCCUUACAGGAGGACGUGGCGGGGGCCGACGGGCGCGCAGCCUCCCGCCCUCUCCGUGACUCAGGGAAAAGGCCUCGCCGCAGAGCGCUUUCUCGGCAGCUGGCUGCAGCACUCCUCCCCCGCCGGGCUUCAGAGUGGGUCGUUUCCUACAGCCUAGGGAGGGGGCCUGAAACGGGGUUUAAAAUCUCCCCUGCCCUCACACAUGCCCUUCUGACUGUUGGAGAACCUGACGCGCGGAUUCUAACUAGAACCGGCACUCUCUUCGGCUGUUAGAUAAUUAGCUCAAAGGACAGCGAAGGCCAUUUAUGAUGUCUCUCAAGCUGGCCUUAUGACAGCUUUUCUUAACGUUUCUGCGGACAUCUUGGCGGACUUGUGUCGGCCUAGCUCAGUGAUCAGUUUCGUUAAAGAAUUCGAGUAUCCGAACAUUAAAGGACUGGACCUAAAUUCUAGCAGAGGGAUUUUUAGCCACAUCAAAUUUACGUCUCAAAGAUUUAGAUAAUUAGGGUAAGGAUGCUUGGUAAAACCUGAAGGUUCCUGGAGGAAAGAGAUGAGCUAUUAGCCGUGUAUUUCGGUGGGACCACCUCAACAUAGGUUCCUGUAGGUUAGCAGUGUAGAAAUGUAGCGCUUCAAAGCCGGAGCAUCCUGUCUUCAAAGAGCAUGGAGGUAUCAACGGCAUUCAUUGUCGAUUAAUAAUAACCUUCCUGGUACUUUCUUACUAAAGUAUAAGCCAUAAUAAUAUUUCAUAAUCGCACCAAUACAAUAAAGGAUGAAAGACUUUA